UACGAGGGGGGCGAGCGUUGUUCGGAAUUACUGGGCGUAAAGCGUGCGUAGGCGGUGAGUUAAGUCUGAUGUGAAAUCCCCGGGCUCAACCUGGGAAUGGCAUUGGAUACUGGCUCGCUAGAGUACGGUAGAGGGUGGUGGAAUUCCCGGUGUAGCAGUGAAAUGCGUAGAGAUCGGGAGGAACAUCUGUGGCGAAGGCGGCCACCUGGACCAGUACUGACGCUGAGGCACGAAAGCGUGGGGAGCAAACAGG
rnacentral:rRNA from 1 species